CUGUCAUCAGGAAUUUGGUCCGACUCCCACGCACUCCUAGAGGCAGCGAGGGGGAGGGGAAGGAUGCGGGAGGCAGAACUCCUGAGGGAGAGGAUGUGGCUGUCGGGCGGCUCUCCCAGGCUCCCUGCCUUGCACAGGCUGUGGGAGGGGACCACGGGAGGCGAGGCGGCUACUCUGGUCUCCAGAGAUUGACUCCCGCUGACUGCCCCCCCGCCCCGGCCCCAGGUCGCUGGGGAGGGACCCUUGGGAGAGACAGCAGAGGCUGGGAGGAUGCAGCCCGCCUUAUGCUGGCUGGAGGAAGGCCUCCCCGUUUCACACUCAUCCCGCCUGGGGGCAGGGCCCGGCGCUCCAGGGUCCAGCCGGCCCAGGACUGGGCUCCGCACCACACUCGCCCCCCAACUUAUCCCCCACCCUGCCACUGGGGCUGUGGCACAGAGAUGGCAAACACCCCCCAAGGCCUUGUGCCAGGUAAUUACCAAGCAAAUUCCCGGCGAUUUCCUCUCCCCACCCUGGGCAGCGCCUGCUGCGCGUUCCCUGAUUCGGGCCCCGGCUGUGCAAUCAGCGCCCGGGAACCUGCGGGGACCCGUAAUUGCUCUGGAGUUGCCCAGGACUUUGCAAGAGACCCUACUCACAGUGAGAAGGGCCAGCGUGCUUGGUUCCACGUGCUGUCUGGCCCUGGGCUCUGCUCCCUGAUGGCUUCAUAGCCUCCUUCACCACGUGCUGCCUUCUCGCGCUGCAUAUGCCUCUCCCCGGCGGUGCCCCAGUAGGUCAGCAGGUUGUCGCUUACAUUUUUGUCUGUUUCAGUUAACAGGUCUCUGACAGGCAGGGUCCUUCCUUUCCAGGAAGACCGUCUUGUCCGCAGCCCGGCUGCUUCUGCCCUACGCGGAAGGUCGUGAACUCAUGAAUCAGAAUCUAAGUCAGUGUGAUGGCGCCCCAGGGCGUGCAUGGCUCGUAUGGAAACCGCAGAUUUGGGGGGCACAACUUUGAAUUACAGCUGGAAUUUGUUUAACUUUCUGUCCACCUAGAUCCCUUCCUUUCAAGUAAGAAAGAAACGGAGAAUUCAGAACUGGUCUUUACUAAGAAGAUGAUCCUGGUGAACUAGCUUCCAGAGUCUGGGAAGCAGAGUUUCAUCUGAAGUUUGGAAUUCAGUUGCCCCAACAGUGAGGGGCCUUGGGGUAGAGGGGGGAAUUCUCUGGGGACUCGCAGCCUGUGCUCUUCCCAGUGUCGCUGUUGCUGCCAAUCUGGGAGCCUGAAAUGUGUUUUGACAGCAGACCUUCUUUGUGUUCUGACUAUAAGUGUUGAUUGGUGGGUACCCUGACUUUGCCUCUUCCGUUGGCAGCUCGAUGAAUGAAGCAGAUGCCAGAGGAGACAUAGCAGGGAAAGAAAGAAGAGCUGAUGGUUGUGUCGAAGUGGAGCCUGGGGUCCCCGUUUUCUCCAUUCCUCCCACAAACGACCUCAUUUAUUAUGAAAAAGGUUUAACUGAUAUCGAGUCAUAACUUGCAAGAAGGAUUUCGAAAGAGCCCAAUGGAUCCCUCUCCAGAGCACCUGGGAGGCGGGUUGCAGGAGGUGGGUGGGCAGGAGGCAGAGGGGGAGGGGGGAGAGUCUUUAGAAGAUGAUCUGGCUUAAGAGGUGGCUCCAGAGCAUCUGUGCUUUUGUAAACCAUGGAACACGCGCAUCUAAUCCCAAUUAACUUCUGCCACCAUCUGCAAGCUCAGGCUCUCUGCUCACGCCAGUGACAAGACUUCAGCUGCAGGCCAAGAGGCUGGGAAGGGCUCACAUCACCUAUGUGGGAAGGACCAGACAGGCCCUGUCUGCUGGGGCACUGGCAGUGGUGGAGAGGGGCAGAGCAGUAACCGGGUUGUCACCCCAGGUCUUGCCCUGGCCUCCAGCUCUUUCUAGUCCAAGUUUAUCUGGGAAAUGGGGGAGAAUCCUUUUGGUCUUGGCCCUUAGACCUCAGAGAGUGACUCUUUCAAUAUUCUGGGGAGUGGAACCCCCUGACAAACACUCUGUUUAUGCACCAGAAAGCCAAGCAGAAUUGAGGUUUCAUGGGCUGCCUUCUAAGACCAAUGCAGGAGCUUGAAGCCCAAAGGUCACUUCUCUGGGCCUCAGUUUCCUCUGCUGAACCGGAACAGAACUGGAUUAGGUGAUCUACAGUGGUGCUAUCUGAUGUGGUGGCCACUAGCACCCAUUGGCUAUUUGGAUUUAAAUUCAUUGAAAUUAAAUACAAUUUAAAAUGCAGGAGAUCCAUCGUGGCUCAGUUGUUAAUGAAUCCGACUAGGAACCAUGAGGUUGCGGGUUCGAUCCCUGGCCUUGCUCAGUGGGUUAAGGAUCCAGCAUUGCCGUGAGCUGUGGGGUAGGUUGCAGACGCGGCUCGGAUCCCGCGUUGCUGUGGCUGUGGUGUAGGUCAGUGGCUACAGCUCCAAUUAGACCCCGAGCCUGGGAACCUCCAUAUGCCACGGGAAGCGGCCCUGGAAAAGGCAAAAAAGACAAAAAAAUAAAAUUAAAUUUAAAAAUGCA
ensembl:lncRNA